rnacentral:SRP_RNA from 1 species
GCUGGGCGCUGUGGCGUGUGCCUGUAACUGUAGCUACCUGCAGGGCUGAGGUCUGUGGAUGGUUUGAGGUCGGGACUCCUGGGGGGUGCUGCUCUAUGUUGAGCGGACGCCCGCACUAGGUUUGGCAUCAAUAUGGGUAUCGCGGAGGAGUCCGGUGAUGUCCAGGUUGCAUAAUGAGAACCGUAUCGGCCCAGGCCCUAGCGGGAGCAGGCAAAAGGUUCCGUGCUGAGCGGUAGUGGGAUAACGUCUGUGAAUAGGCUUCAUUCACCAGCCCGGCCAAUAUUAAUCAGACCAGAUUUUUU